GCCACAUACUUUUUUUAAUUUUAAGAAUUUGCAAGAGAGAUGAAUGGCUAGAUCAGAUUUUUUUAAAUUAAAAAAUUUAAAAAAUGUUCUCAGCAUUUAACAUAGUUCACCAAUAUGUUUAUCAAUGCUGACUAUCUCCUUGAAGUCAUGAGAGUAUUUAAUAUAUAAUAAAUACAGUGAUGUAGUAUAUUUUAAACUUUAGGUGUAAAGCAAGUGCCUAUCAAAUAUUGACUCAGAGACUUGCUUGUAAUUUAAAUACUGACCUUAACUUUUAGUCAGAUUUUUAGGGCUAAAAUCACCCUUAAGAUUUUCUGGAUGAGGUUCCUGAGGUUUUAACCUAUCAUAAUGUUAGAAAGUUUUUAGAAAGGAAGGCAGAGUGAACAUGUUGUCUCUUUUUUGUCUCUUAUAUUCUUGGUUUCCUCUUAUUGCUUGUUUAGUUUUGUCAUUGUUUCUGUCAAAGAAAAAAAGAACUCCACAGAUGUGAAUUGUAUGUCUGUUUCAGGUAAACCUAUUGAUAAACUUAAAGUAAAUAAAAAUAGGAUCUUUAAUUUGGUAAAUUAUUUUUCCUCUUGCUACGUGUUCUCACAUAUUGAAAAUUAUUCACCCAAAUUGUUGCUAUCUUUACAAAUUAUAGGAUUACAAGGAGGCAAAUAUGUUUAACUUGAUUUUAGUUUUUGUAGGUUUUAAGAUGAAAAAACCUUAUUAAACUAUGUAAUGAGUUCAAAUCUCUCCCAAGUUAGGAAAAAAUGAGGAAAGGAAAGGAAGUAAUUACCAUGCAAGGUGACAACAGGAACUAGCAGGAGGGGGUGGUGUGGAUGAAAAGGCGUGGGGGCCGGGCACACGCAAGGCCCAGGUCAGGCCUGGGAACUGGUUACACUGGUAUUAACACAGGAUGAUUAAUUUGCUUUGUAGUUAACCAUUAUAUUGUGUUAUUUGUUUCAUACAUGUUCAUGUAUGUGAUUAUAGUUCACCAAAGGAGUUUUUUAAAAUUCUUUUUGUAUUCCUUGGCUUCAAAACCCACACAUUAUAAACAGACACGAUAGGAAUACCAUCUCCCACCACCCACCUCCCCUUCCCAUUCUGUCCUUAGCUUGUGUAGGGCUCCCUCUCAAAGACCUUGGAGGCUGUUGAGAAGCUGUAGGAGGACGUGAACUGGCAUCUAGUUAGUGCUUCUUAUGCCCUGCAUGUCAUGCCAUUCGUAUAAAGUACUGCAUAUGUGUUAUGGUAUGUGUUGAAUGUUACAAGUAAACAAACGAAAGCUCAUACAGAGUGAUGUUUGUCCCUGGUUGCAUGGCUGGUGAAAUCUAAGCUAGUGUUAAGAUCCUUGUGACUUCAGAGGCCUGUUCUUGAGCCGUGCUCCACUGUGUCCACGUGUUCCACACAUGUUCAGAAUGGCCUCAAAGCAGUCAGAUUGUCUUAGCAAUGCCAAGUACCGUGAAGAGCUUUCCUGCCAUAAAAUAAACCUUUCUCAGAAUAUUUUUAGAACAUGUUAUACAGCCUUAAUUUCAGCAUUUAGAGAUUUAUUUUUGUCUGCAAGCCACUACUUUAUGAAUCCUUGUUCCCCAAACCUUAACCACUAUUUUGAGGUCUAGGUUAAGCAAUAAUAGAGUUGAAGUAGGCGAACUAGGUAUCUUUGUAAUGGCCUGAGAGCCAGACCUUUAUUUGGAACAUCAUAACCUAGAGCCCAAACUCUCAUUUAAAGCAACUACCUGGCAAAUACGAUUUUGAGAGUUGGUCCCCAGGUGAAUAACUUGUCUGUGUAAAUACAUAAUAAAGUUUAAAGCUCUAGAGCAGUAGUAUUCUUUAAGCAUACAGCAAAAGUGCUGGAGAUUCAUGCACGUGCACUCACCCACACACACAGCGUGUGUACAGUCACGUGCACGUUGCAGGCAGAUGAAGCCUGUUAGCACACACCGAGGGUGAGAGUUCAUGAACUACAGUGUGUGCACACAUAAGCAUGCCCAUCUUGGGGACUACGGUGGCAUUGACAUUUGACUUAAAGUAAUGUGUCUUCAUGGCAGCUGCCUAAUGAUUGGAAAAAUGACUGGUGGACUGAAUUUACCCACUGUCAGAAGUUCCUCUUUCUAAAAGUGUUUUUGAAAGUAUAAUCCACAGGAUGUAUUAAGAAUUAAAAGUGGUCUGCUAUUAAGUCAGUUUAAGAACAUUGGAUUACAUGGAGGAGAAGUCAAUUUUCUACUACAGAACCUUUUAGAGGCUUUUCCAUGCUCAUAAGCAUUGUUACUCUCCAGAAGCAAGUCUACAGCGAGUAGCCUUUCUCACCGCUCACUCUGGAAAUUUCUACCAAGUAUCCCAAGGUCUGAUAGACAAAAUGCAAAACUAGAGACUAUUACCAUGACGGUGUCUCCAGAAUGGGGCUGGGGUUUCUCAGGAAUGUUUUGAUUGGAGAUGGGGUAGGCUAAAGAUCAAUGGUAUUGAAAUUUACCCC